rnacentral:rRNA from 1 species
UACGGGAGGCAGCAGUGAGGAAUAUUGGUCAAUGGGCGUAAGCCUGAACCAGCCAAGUCGCGUGAGGGAUGAAGGUUCUAUGGAUCGUAAACCUCUUUUAUAAGGGAAUAAAGUGCGGGACGUGUCCCGUUUUGUAUGUACCUUAUGAAUAAGGAUCGGCUAACUCCGUGCCAGCAGCCGCGGUAAUACGGAGGAUCCGAGCGUUAUCCGGAUUUAUUGGGUUUAAAGGGUGCGUAGGCGGCCUUUUAAGUCAGC